AGAGUUUGAUCCUGGCUCAGGAUGAACGCUGGCGGCAUGCCUAAUACAUGCAAGUCGAACGGAGAAGCCUAACAGAAGAUGCUUGCAUCGGAAGAUAGAUACUUCUCAGUGGCGAACGGGUGAGUAACACGUAGGUAACCUGCCCAUGUGCCCGGGAUAAUUUCUGGAAACGGAAACUAAAACCGGAUAGGUAAUAGAGAAGCAUUUCUGUAUUAUUAAAGAAGCCUCAAAGCUUUGAACAUGGAUGGACCUGCGGUGCAUUAGCUAGUUGGUAAGGUAACGGCCUACCAAGGCGACGAUGCAUAGCCGACCUGAGAGGGCGAACGGCCACAUUGGGACUGAGACACGGCCCAAACUCCUACGGGAGGCAGCAGUAGGGAAUUUUCGUCAAUGGGGGGAACCCUGAACGAGCAAUGCCGCGUGAGUGAAGACGGUCUUCGGAUUGUAAAGCUCUGUUGUGAGAGAAAAAGGAUAUAUAUAGGAAAUGAUAUGUAUUUGAUGGUAUCUCACCAGAAAGUCACGGCUAACUACGUGCCAGCAGCCGCGGUAAUACGUAGGUGGCGAGCGUUAUCCGGAAUGAUUGGGCGUAAAGGGUACGUAGGCGGCAUGAUAAGUCUGGAGUGAAAGGCUACAGCUCAACUGUAGUAUGCUCUGGAAACUGUCAAGCUAGAGUGCAGAAGAGGGCAAUGGAACUCCAUGUGUAGCGGUAAAAUGCGUAGAUAUAUGGAAGAACACCGGUGGCGAAGGCGGUUGCCUGGUCUGAAACUGACGCUGAAGUACGAAAGCGUGGGGAGCAAAUAGGAUUAGAUACCCUGGUAGU
rnacentral:rRNA from 1 species